rnacentral:tRNA from 1 species
GCUAGAGUGGCAGAGCCAGGCAAAUGCAGAAGGCUUAAGUCCUUCAAUCCAGAGGUUCAAAUCCUCUCCCUAGCU